ACCAGGAAGUGCGGGGAUUUUGGGUGUGCUGUUCUCUGGUGGCGAGAAAGUGGAAAAUAAAGUUGACUGGAAGCAGCCGACAGCCGUGUUCUUUUUCUCUGCCCAAGUCAGGCCGCCCCUUACCACGGUUUGGGGCUGAACACACUGACAGGUCAUUCUCAGCGGUGCUCUGCUCUGUAUUGAUUAUCAGCCGAGAGCUGUCUAUUUAAUUCAAAUACAAGUUCAGUAUGAAGUUCCUGAUUCCAAUUUGAGAGAGUACAACACACCAAAAAAAGAGCGUGAAACAGCCAACAGAUGGCCCUGGAGAGCCGCUGGAGCAUCAUGUUAGCUCAGCAUGACAUCUCUCUCACAUCCUCACUCUGCUUUCAUUCUCUGCAUGCUCUUGUAUUGCCUGUGUAUGGCAAAUUUAUAUUGGUUCAUUAUAUUCAACAGAGCUUCUGGUGCAAAGCAGAAUAGUAGUACUACAACUUCCUGAGCCAUCACGGUCAGUACAAUUCAGUCGUUUUGUGAGUGACAAGAAGGCAUUACACACACACACACACAAACAGACUCACAAUCAAAAGUUCUGUCCAGACGGUGAAAUCCAAAGUCCCAUGAGGCGGACUCCGACUUGGAAUUGGAUUUUGCAAGUGUGCAGCAACACUCAGCAGGGCCUUGUCUGGUCUACUUUGCAGAGAUUAGUGGGUCAUGGGAAGCGGUUUUGGAUGACUCACAUGAAAGAAGGAAAGAGAGAUUAUAAAGAUGAAACUGGAACAUACAAAUAUUAAAAGCCGUGUGGUGGCUGACGGAGGCUUCACCGUGGGCAUCAAGGAGCUUGUGGAAGCUUCUUGUGAUACCUCACAUACACAUUAUGGUGGAUUAAACCUUGAACGUUUCUGCUGCUGAAUGCUGCAUUCGAUAAUGACCACGUCGCCGCUUCUUUUUCAUGCGACACAAAGCGUAGAAAUGUUCAGGAAUAAAAUGUUGCGUCCGAACAAAUGAUACGUGUCAAAUAAAUCUAAUGAAUCAUCAAUUUAUGUGGGCAGGAACGUGGUGACAUUCUUUUGGUCUGUCGGAAAGCAUUUCAUCUCUGGAUUCAAUGCCAAACUGAAACAUUUUAUCAAAGAAAGGAGACAAAUUUUAUUUCAUUCGAUAUACAGCAAACCUUGCACAAUAAAACUAAACUAAACUUGAAAUAAUCCACCCAGAGUUACACUUCCUCAUGCACACGAAAGGGGGUGUGAUUUAGAGAUGUUGGAUCAUAAAUGUUCCUCCCACCGGUUAUUAAUCAUAAACACAUAAUAAAACUAAAACUAAACAGAGACUUGAAAUAAUCUACAAAAUCAAACCCAGAGGUACACCUCCUCCUGCAUAAACAAGGGGGUGUGAUUUAGAGAUGUUGGAUCAUAAAUGCUCCUCCCACCAGUUAUUAAUCCUAACCACACAAUAAAACUAAACAGAGACUUGAAAUAAUCCACAAAGUCAAACCCAGAGGUGCACUUCCUCAUACACAAGCAAGGGAGUGUGAUUGCGACAUUCAUUCAUUCAUUCAUUUUCUACCGCUUUUCCUCACGAGGGUUGCGGGGGUGCUGGAGCCUAUCCCAGCUGUCUUUGGGCGAGAGGCGGGGUACACCCUGGACUGGUGGCCAGCCAAUCACAGGGCACAUAUAGACAAACAACCAUUCACACUCACAUUCAUACCUAUGGACAAUUUGGAGUCGCCAAUUAACCUAGCAUGUUUUUGGAAUGUGGGAGGAAACCGGAGUCCCCAGAGAAACCCCCCCACAGUCAAAACCAGAGGUACACUUGCUCAAAACGCAAGUAUGUCCGAUAAACAAUGUGUUGGCUAAUAAUGUCCAAACCUGCUAUUGUUGUUACUUUUGAGUUAGCAGCAUCAGGAAGGUUAACAUUUAUGUUAUUUGUGAAGGACAGUUUUACCCUGGAACAGAUUAUUUAUAGUUCCGUUAUUUCUUACAGGAAAAAUGACUCUUUUUGUGACUUAAAAUGUGAAAAAUUCCAAGGUCAACCAGCACAUUGGAAUCAACCUUGCGGUGUCCACCAUACGUUGUAAUUUAUCUCUGCUCAUAAGCAAUACAUCCUUCUAUACCUCCACUUCAUUUAGUUCUAAAACCAGGAAAUGUUGAUUGAUGGUGGCUCCUCCAAAAAGUUCACAAAGCCAUGACACAUUGCCUCGUAUCAGAGCGGCCAUCUUCCUCCUCCAUGAUUCUCAUAAUUCAUGUCGGGCGACAUUGGUUUCCUGGUCAUCCUCCGCUGUAAGCCAACAGUGGUGCCGCACCAUCCAUCAUCUGCUGACCUUCAGCAUCGUGCCCCGGGCAGCGGAGGGAGUGACUGAUGUCGACACGGCCGCCACCUCCCCGCACCCGAGGCCCCCGCCCGCAACCCCCGCCAGAUAUCCGUCCGCCAUUAUCCGACCCCGGUGUCCGCAGAUUCCCAUCAGUGCUGGCGGCUUUAAUUAUUCACGCCACUGAAUCGCGGUCUCAUCGGAGAGAUGGACCAGACCUUGCUCGGAUCUUAUCUGUGAGAUCUCAUCCUUCUUUUAUAUGCACUGUGGAUUAGAGCCUGCUAACUGCGAUUCAACGCCCCAAGCACAUGGACGACACUCUUUUCAUAUCGUGGUUCAAUACCGACGAUUCAAAACUGGUAACCCACAUACACGUGUACCCGCUUUGCGACUGUUGCCAACCCUCCAGGCUGGAUCUUAUUUCUCAGUGACGGGUCCGGGACUGAUGAGGACGGGACGGAUGUUUUUUGGCUGCCUGGUGGAGGACAAGGAGAGGAGACAGGAGCAGGGGCGGGGAUUUGGACACAGGAGGAGCUGCCAGAUUGACAGGUCGAUGGGUCGUCGCUCGGGGCGAAGGUGUGGACGUGUUUGGGGAGCUGUCUCAAUAGAUAAGCAUCAGUGAAAAUAUGAGAGGCGAGAUGGUAAUCUCUCGCAGGAAGUCCAGGCGAUAGUGUUGCAGACCUAACCACAGGAGGGACUACUGACCUUGCAGGCCUCUGAUCCAUUCAUGCUCAUUACAAACACAUGCAAGCCUGUUGUACGCCGUCUGGGUUUAGCAUGGGGGAGAUGUGUACCUUAUAGAAGCUGAUGUGCUGCGUUGCCUUUUAAUGUCAUUUUCUUGCUUGUUAGUUUGCAGGAUUGCAUGGAAACUAUGUGAGCAAUCGGGAAAUUUCACAGAAGAGCAGGGGUGUUUGAACUGGUCUCAUCCUGGGACCCAUGGUCAUUAAGGUGUGACCCACUUUUAUAAAAGUAUAAGCAUGCUAGUUUACUUUUUGUUGUAAUAGCCUUCAUAACAUGUUAGGUUCAUUGGAGAGCCAAAUUGUUCAUAGGUGAGGAUAAGCUGCAUAG